rnacentral:rRNA from 1 species
CCUACGGGUGGCAGCAGUGGGGGAUAUUGCACAAUGGGGGAAACGCUGAUGCAGCGACGCCGCGUGUGGGAAGACGGUCCUCUGGAUUGUAAACCACUUUCCCCAGGGACGAAGAUGACGGUACCUGGGGUGGAAGCUCCGGCUGACUACGUGCCAGGCGCCGCGGUAAUUCGUAGGGGGCAAGGGUUAUCCGGAUUUGCUGGGGGUAAAGGGAGCGUAGGCGGUAGCAGAAGUCUGGAGGGAAAUGCCGGGGCUUAAACCCGGAACUGCUUUGGAAACUGGGCAGCUAGAGUGCAGGAGAGGUAAGUGGAAUGCGUAGUGUAGCGGUGAAAUGCGUAGAUAUUAGGAGGAACACCAGUGGCGAAGGCGGCUUACUGGACUGUAACUGACGUUGAGGCUCGAAAGCGUGGGGAGCAAACAGGAUUAGAUACCCCAGUAGUC